CUUACGGGUGGCUGCAGUAGGGAGUAUUGCAUAAUGGGCGAAAGCCUGAUGCAGCAACGCCGCGUGUGCGAUGAAGGCCUUCGGGUCGUAAAGCACUUUUGAAGGGGAUGAGGAAGGACAGUACCCUUCGAAUAAGCUUCGGCUAACUACGUGCCAGCAGCCGCGGUAAAACGUAGGAAGCGAGCGUUAUCCGGAUUUACUGGGUGUAAAGCGCGUGUAGGCGGUUUGGCAAGUUGGAUGUGAAAGCUCCUGGCUUAACUGGGAGAGGUCGUUCAAAACUACCAGACUUGAGGAUGGGAGAGGGAGGCGGAAUUCCGGGUGUAGUGGUGAAAUGCGUAGAUAUCCGGAGGAACACCAGUGGCGAAAGCGGCCUCCUGGCCCAUAACUGACGCUCAGACGCGAAAGCUAGGGGAGCGAACGGGAUUAGAUACCCUAGUAGUC
rnacentral:rRNA from 1 species